rfam:Gossypium raimondii Chr07_contig_432, whole genome shotgun sequence.
CAUGUCAGAGCGCUUUGCUGACGUGGCAACAAAUCGCGCUCUCAAGGCCGCGCUUUGUUGCCACGUCAACAAAGCACGCUGACGUGG